rnacentral:rRNA from 1 species
GAUGAACGCUGGCGGCGUGCCUAAUACAUGCAAGCAGAGCGAAGCGGGGACGGGUGAGCAACACGUGGAAACCCUCCUAUAAGACUGGGAUAACUUCGGGAAACAAGACCAAAACCGGAAACAUAUAGAUUGACCCGCGCUGCAUUAGCUAGUUGGAUAGGUGACGGCUUACAAAGGGAACGUUGCAUAGCCGACCUGAGAGGGUGAUCGGCCACACUGGAACUGAGACACGGUCCAGACUCCUGCGAUAUGCAGCUGUAGGGAAUCUUCCGCAAAAGGCGAAAGCCUGACGGAGCAACGCCGAGUGAGUGAUGAAGGUCUUCAGAUCGUAAAGCUCUGUUAUUAGUGAAGCGGUACCUAAUCAGAAAGCCGCGGCUAACUGCGUGCGAGCAGCCGCAGUAAUU